rnacentral:rRNA from 1 species
AUGAGAGGAACCCUUCUUCCUCCGUCUUCCUUCGACCUCGACCUCGGCAUGUUGACCUCGCUCCAUAACAUCUCGGUGAACCACUACUGGAUGUGGCGUCGACUAAGCACUGCACAUGGCUUGCUCGCCGGCACGCGCGUGCGUGCUUCGAUGCGCGGCGCUUCGUCGAGCUGGACGGACCGCGGCAAUCGCUGGAGCCAGAGCUGGAGGAGGCGACGAGAUGCUGCUGCUGCGGCUGUGUCCUCGGAGGCAGUUGCUGCCCCUCGCCGACCUCACCAACAUCCGGCGUCCGCCAUGAGCUCCCCGCAGGACCCCUUCUACAUCGUCCGGGAGGAGAUCCAGGGCUCGAUGGGUAAGCUGCAGACUACGUUCCAUCGCUGGAAGCAAGUUUCUUCAAACCUGAUUACUUUGUCAUCAGGCUGGCUGAUUGCAUCCAGCUCAAAUUGUUCCACAUUUCUAGCUUAA